rnacentral:rRNA from 1 species
ACUAGCAGUAAGAGUUUGAUCAUGGCUCAGAACGAACGCUGGCGGCAGGCUUAACACAUGCAAGUCGAGCGCGCCCUUCGGGGUGAGCGGCGGACGGGUGAGUAACGCGUGGGAACGUGCCCCUUUCUUCGGAAUAGCCCUGGGAAACUGGGAGUAAUGCCGAAUACGGCCGAGAGGCGAAAGAUUUAUCGGAGAGGGAUCGGCCCGCGUUGGAUUAGGUAGUUGGUGGGGUAAUGGCCUACCAAGCCGACGAUCCAUAGCUGGUUUGAGAGGAUGAUCAGCCACACUGGGACUGAGACACGGCCCAGACUCCUACGGGAGGCAGCAGUGGGGAAUCUUGGACAAUGGGGGAAACCCUGAUCCAGCCAUGCCGCGUGAUCGAUGAAGGCCUUAGGGUUGUAAAGAUCUUUCAGCUGGGAAGAUAAUGACGGUACCAGCAGAAGAAGCCCCGGCUAACUCCGUGCCAGCCGCCGCGGUAAUUC